rnacentral:rRNA from 1 species
UAACUCCGGGAAACCGGGGCUAAUACCGAAUGAUAAAGUGUGGCGCAUGCCACGCUUUUGAAAGAUGGUUUCGGCUAUCGCUUACAGAUGGGCCCGCGGUGCAUUAGCUAGUUGGUAGGGUAAUGGCCUACCAAGGCAACGAUGCAUAGCCGACCUGAGAGGGUGAUCGGCCACACUGGGACUGAGACACGGCCCAGACUCCUACGGGAGGCAGCAGUAGGGAAUCUUCCGCAAUGGACGAAAGUCUGACGGAGCAACGCCGCGUGUAUGAAGAAGGUUUUCGGAUCGUAAAGUACUGUUGUUAGAGAAGAACAAGGAUAAGAGUAACUGCUUGUCCCUUGACGGUAUCUAACCAGAAAGCCACGGCUAACUACGUGCCAGCAGCCGCGGUAAUACGUAGGUGGCAAGCGUUGUCCGGAUUUAUUGGGCGUAAAGCGCGCGCAGGCGGUCUUUUAAGUCUGAUGUGAAAGCCCCCGGC